rnacentral:rRNA from 1 species
AGCACUCCUACGGGAGGCAGCAGUGGGGAAUAUUGCACAAUGGGCGCAAGCCUGAUGCAGCCAUGCCGCGUGUAUGAAGAAGGCCUUCGGGUUGUAAAGUACUUUCAGCAGUGAGGAAGGUGGGUAUGUUAAUAGCAUAUUCAUUUGACGUUAGCUGCAGAAGAAGCACCGGCUAACUCCGUGCCAGCAGCCGCGGUAAUACGGAGGGUGCGAGCGUUAAUCGGAAUUACUGGGCGUAAAGCGCAUGCAGGUGGUUUGUUAAGUCAGAUGUGAAAGCCCGGGGCUCAACCUCGGAAUUGCAUUUGAAACUGGCAAACUAGAGUACUGUAGAGGGGGUAGAAUUUCAGGUGUAGCGGUGAAAAUGCGUAGAGAUCUGAAGGAAUACCGGUGGCGAAGGCGGCCCCCUGGACAGAUACUGACACUCAGAUGCGAAAGCGUGGGGAGCAAACAGGAUUAGAUACCCGGGUAG